GGGGGGGCUAGGAUGAAAAAUUUUGUCCUGCAGUUUUUUUAGCUGUAAUCUCUGUCCUGCCUUUUUAUUUUUCACUCUGUUUGGUCCUGCUUUUUUUUUUUUUAGUUUAUCCUGACUUUUUUUUUACCUAAAUUGUCGUCCUGGCUUUUUUUUUUUUUGGCAUUUGUCUCAUCCUGCCUUUUUUUUUUACUCAAAACCCCUGUCCUGCCUAUUUUUUUCAAAUUUCAUCCUAGCCCCCCAUAAAAAUCAAAUGGUAGCUCCCUUAGUCACUAUGGUGUAACGUCACUGUAGUUGAACUAGAAACGUCGUCGUUACAUGAAGAUGGCUGGACGCUUUAGGUAAGAACGAAGCUGUACAUUUAUUCUUUCUCCACUUUUAAUGUACGCAGUUGCUGC
rnacentral:lncRNA from 1 species